rnacentral:rRNA from 1 species
UACGAAGGGGGGCUAGCGUUGCUCGGAAUCACUGGGCGUAAAGGGCGCGUAGGCGGCGUUUUAAGUCGGGGGUGGAAAGCCUGUGGCUCAACCACAGAAUGGCCUUCGAUACUGGGACGCUUGAGUAUGGUAGAGGUUGGUGGAACUGCGAGUGUAGAGGUGAAAUUCGUAGAUAUUCGCAAGAACACCGGUGGCGAAGGCGGCCAACUGGACCAUUACUGACGCUGAGGCGCGAAAGCGUGGGGAGCAAACAGG